UACAAUUCAAUAUGAAUCAAAAUGAGAAUCCAAGAAACAUCAUUUAUUCCAAAAGUUCAAGGAACCAGAAACGUUAUUUCUUUCAAUAUUUCAAGGAACCAAAAAUGCGAUUCAUUCCAAAAGUUCAAGGAACUAGAAACGUUAUUCCUUCCAACAUUUCAAGAAACCAAAAACGUGAUUCAUUCCAAAAGUUCAAGGAGCCCGAAACGUUAUUCCUUUCAACAUUUCAAGGAACCAAAAAUGUGAUUCAUUCCAAAAGUUCAAGGAACCAGAAACGUUAUUCCUUCCAACAUUUCAGGAAACAAAAAACGUGAUUCAUUCCAAAAGUUCAAGGAACCAGAAACGUUAUUCCUUCCAACAUUUCAAGGAACAAGAAACGUUAUUCAUUCCAAUAUUUCAAGGAACUAGAAGCAAUUUCGUCCAUGAAUUUCAAUCAACGAAGGUUUUGCAACGGAAUAUUAGACAGAGUUUUCCUUACUCCAGGUAUGUUAAG
rnacentral:lncRNA from 1 species